rnacentral:misc_RNA from 1 species
UGAAAAUGACAUAGAACUUGAAGGAGCAUGUGAAGCCUCACUUGCCUGUUCAACAUGUCAUGUGAUUGUCAUGGAUGUGGAAUACUACAACAAAUUAGAAGACCCUACUGACGAGGAGAAUGACAUGUUGGAUUUGGCCUUUGGGCUCACACAAACUUCUCGAUUGGGUUGUCAGGUGAUUGCAAAGCCUGAACUUGAUGGAAUUCGCUUAGCUAUUCCAGCUGCCACAAGAAAUUUUGCCGUUGAUGGGUAUGUUCCAAAACCUCACUAGACAUGGAGCAACACUGGAAAGUGUAUGCUGAGCGUAAAGGACGCAUUCAUCCCAGUUUUGUAGCCUACAAUAUUGUAUUCAACCAAUGAUCAUCUCCAGUCCUAGUCAUUUUUCCGUGCCAUUGUUUAUUACAUAUUUGUUUCACCUAAUAAUUUUUGAGUGGAACUAACUUGCAU